rnacentral:tRNA from 1 species
UGAUAAGAAGAGGACUUAAA